CUUCAUGUGUAUUAGUCCUUGCCGCAUGUGUGCUUUAUUGUGCAAAAUUGUUCCCUUUUGGAUAGAUGAAAGUGCAGAUUCCACCAAAGUAAAAUUUAGUAGGCUUUAUGUUAUCAAUUUAUUUUUGUUACAUGUUGCUAAAAGUAAAUGAAACGAAUUUCUUUCUGUUUUGGUUCAGAAAUAUUUGAUUUUUGGAGGAGAAAGGUCAUACAAGGAUGAGAAUGGGACACCAUAUUAUAGCGACGUGGUGAUUUUAUUCAGUUUAGUCAGAGGACAUACAUACGUACAAGUAGUUCCCUAAGGCGAAGGCCUUCCAUUUGCUAUUGCUGGCCAUGUAAAAUAGCAUGAACCUGAACCUAAACUGCGAUUGGAUGUCUAAACUGAAUUGUUGCAUUCCUAGACAUGGGAAUGUGGAUCAGUUUUAGUUCUGAAGAAUCUGCAUACUUCUGGUCCUAUGUAAUUCCAAUUUAUUUAGACAAGCAUGCCAAAAGUGUUGAAACCCAAGUUAGGGUUCAAAUUUGUGGGGUUGUGCUUGCUGCUAAACUGAUCCUGGACUUUCUGUUGGCUAUAUUAUAAUUAGCAAAUGGAAGUGGAGAGAUAAAGCAUAAAUACUUGAUAAACUUUUUUUGUUGGGGCGGGGGAUGGUUUAGUCCAUAGUUAAAAAAGGCGCGCCUAAGCGAGCGCUUAAGCGCGCCUAGGCUCUAGGCGUUGACAAAACGCAUUGCACAUAACUACGCUUAAUCUGUGCAUAACUACGCAUAGGUUACAAAACGCACAAUUAACGCCUAGCACUUUUUUGAACUAUGGUUUAGGCACUUCAUGCAUUGUUGGUGUUGCAGACUUUUGCACUGCUACUAAAUGUCCUAUAUGUUAUUCUUUAGUAGGGAUGUUGGCAUAGAGAUAUCGCAAUAAUAAAAACGAGAAUCCUCAUUACUCACAUAUAUAUUACUAUGUCCUUUUGUUUCCAUUGAGACCUAUUUUGUUUAUUCUUUUAGUUCCAAGGCAAAAUUCUCUGAUUUUUAGUAAUUCACAUUUAACAAGACAUGUGAAUGGAGGAUGGGAGGCAUUUAGAUGCAAGUCAGAAACUUCUUCUGCUAGCUUAUUUUAAGUUUAUUAUUUCCUUGCUCCCCUUUUCAUUGUAGAGAAUGAAAAGCAUCUUUCACGCUGCCAACGGGAUCUGGACCAAUAAGAGGAUCAGGAGGACGAAUACAGUGGACACUACUACUCAGCAAGAUACAGUUCAAACCCUGUAUCCUCCUGAUUGAUCUCCCUUCGCCCCUGUUUAAGAAUCAUGUUUCACCCAUUCAGGUAAAUCUAGCUGAAACAUUUUACGAACUCUACAAGUUGAAAGUUCAUACUUUUAGACGAGUAUACCAUUUUGGAGGUGUGUGUGUCAGUUCGCCGAUUAUUGACACCUCAUUCUAUGUAUUUUAGUGUUGUCUUCAGAAUUAUAGACACCUCAUUCUAUAAGGAGGCCGCCACCAAGAAGAGCGAGGUUGUGUCAAUGGACUCAGGUGCGUGCACUCGUUGGUGGUUUCAGUCUCAUAAUUUUUUCUUUCCAGUUGAAGAACGGGCGGUGGAUAUCUGUUACUCCAUUCUGUCUUUCCUGGUCUGUACAUUUUGAGAAGAUUGCAUACAUUGUAUUGAUGUGUCUUUUGUGUGAAACUUUGACUUAUUGGUCAACAAUAUAUGAGUUAUACGUCAUCAAAAAUAUAUCAUUGGGAAGUUCAUUGAAAUAUGCAUCCAAUGGCAUACUCUUUGUGGCGUAUAACUCACAUGUUGUUGGUAAAAUCAAUGCUCAAAGUUAUUUUCGGUCACAAAACAUUGAUAAAACUAUAAAUCACAUUUUAAUUCUUGUUGCGAUUACACCUAUUAGUUGCAGUUCAUAAGCUGUGUUGAGUUGACUGCUGAUUUCUUUUCUUCUAUUAUUUUCCUUUAUGAACCUGGUGGCCAGCGACAAGUUGUAGAAAGAAACAAGGCUUAUGUUAGGCAAAGUUGAUUAGGUUGUACUACACACCGAGUGCCUCCAUAAGAAUCUAGAUAAAAUGCCAUAAAAGGUGAGAUUGGGCAUAGUCUUGAUAUAGUUUCGUUAAAAGAUAUUCCAUUGAUUUUUUGGGUUUGGACAUACUUAUGAUUGUUUUCUUCUAACUGCAUCUUAAUAUAUGCUUUUGUAGACUGUUCUAGAUAAGAUGAUGGCUAUCAAUGUGAGCGACUGAGCUUUUAUGUCCAGAAAAUGCUCACUAAUAAAAUCUGGAAUGUCUUAUGUUUCUCAUCUUUUUUCUUCAUUUGUAUGGUUAAAGUUUGGCUUCAAACCAACAAAUAGUUAAUAUUAAAUUAAGCUAUUUUCCCGCUCCCCUCUUCAGUUGGCAAACCCAUCAAGGAAUUGUUGUAAUGAAUAUAUUUUAUAUGGUUACAUCCACAACAGGAAGAGGUCUUAAAUGCUAUAGCAUACGUCUAUAUUAAUGUAUAUGAGUGAGAGCGAGGACCGAGUAUGGGAAUUUAAUGUGCGAAGACAAGAUGAGUGCGGACAUGCCCGCCUCAGGAGGCACCACCAGGUGGCGCCCUAGCCUUUAGUACAUAUACACAUACACUCACCUUUAUGAAUGUACACAUGCACAUCCUACCCCUAUGAGCACCUUUGAGAGACUGGGACGGCAUAUCAUCUUUAGUUUUACGAAGUCACCGUAGGCGCCUCAUCAUUGACGGGAUAGUCUUCUCCCACUGAAAAUGCAUCGUCAGAAAUCCUGAAAUAAAUUCAGGAAUAAUGCGAGCAUCAGGACUUGAACCCUGGUGGACUGGGGAGCACCAGGAAUAGCGUCGCGCCGUUGCUUUGCAGCGCCGACCCCAAAUCCAACUAAGGGCAUCUCCAACACUCUCCCCGUAAAUUUGCUCCGACAUCCGUCCACUGACAAGGAGGGACCAGGCCACGAACGCUGAUGCUCAAGGCGGCUAUCCAACGUUGCCUGUAUACAUUUCCAUCACUGUUUGAACUAACAUGACGAAAUUCAUGCAAACACGGUGGAUUUCAUAUAAAUCGGACGGUAUUCAUUACAUUUUGAACAUUUUUCAUAUAAACGGGAUGAAUUCAUUACAUUUUUCAUAUAAACCAUAGUAAACCCUACUCUAAACCUAAACUAAAUGAUUGUCGGCGCAUGUUCCCCAUGUCCGGCCAUGAGCCCCGAGAAUUGAAGCUUCGCCUUCUUCAAUUUCAUCUCGACGCUCUCCAGCUUCGCCUCCGGAGACCCUGGAAGUGAAACUGUCCACCUUCACGUCGCCAACAAGUAGCUAAUCGACCGACGAUGUUCAGCCCAGAAGCUUGCCUCCAAUGGGAGGGGAGGAGCAGUGGCCUUCUUGGUACCCAAGCGGUCGUGUCCUACCAUGCACUACUCUUCCUCGCUACCGGCGGCGCCGGUGAACAUUUCGGCUUCGUGGCUGUGGUGGCGGGGCGCGGCCGGGGCGGAGCUGGUGAUAUCCUCCUUCUCGUUGCUCUUGCCCUACACCUCAUAUGCCGCCUCGUCGGACUCCUUGUAGGCGGCUUCUAACUCUGCCUGGUGUUGGCGGAACCACCAACGGUCGCCGCCGAUCUCGCGGGCGGAGUGGUAGGACUCAAGCAACACCUCUUACUCAGGCACCUCCAUGUACAACAUGAUGGAUGUGCUGGCGACGAGCAACUCCUCCGCCUCAUGGUGCUCCUCGAGGAGGCGGAGGUUGUAGGCCUUGUCGACCAGCGCCUGCCGGAACUUGGCCUCCUCCUCUCGCGGCAUGUCUGUGUAGUGCACACGGGCCUCACCAUCGAUGAGGCCCGCACGCACCAGCGAGGAGGGUGGCGCUGCCUCAUCCUCCAUUGGGGCGUCAUCGGCCGCUGUUUGUUGGCUGGCCUGCUAGCCUGCAGUAAUUAGCCCUGUGCGUUCGGUUUAUUCGGUUUACAUGAUUCGGUUUAUACGGUUUUUCGGUAUGUACGAUAUUAAUACUUCGGUAAAUACGGUAUGAAAUUAAAAUACGGUUCGGUUUCGGUAUAUACCAAAUUAUUUCGGUAUGGUUUCGGUAUAUACCAUAAAAACCAAAGUUGACGCGAAUUUGAAAAUGACGUAAUAAUAAUUUGCAAAUUUAUGACUCAAAACACAUUCUAUUUUACACAAAUAGUAUAUGACUAUAUAUAUAAGUAUAUAUGCAUGCAUUGAUUCAUCUGUUGAUGGUUAUGGACGUGCUUAGCAUUUUAAAAAGAGAAAAAUGACAAUGUUACAAGAAAAAUGUAGGUGCUUAGUAGUGAAUUUGACUCAUGUACAAGAAAAAUGACAACUUGUACGGUUGUUCAUCUCAAGAAAUAUAAAUUUAUCUUUUACUUCGGUUUAUUCGGUUAACCAUUCGGUUUUUUGGUAUAUACCAUAAAAACCAAAGUUCAAAUCGGUAUGAAAAGUUCAUACCAUACCGAAACCAGAAACCAUAAAAACAAAAAAAUCGGUUCGGUUCGGUUUAUUUUCGGUAUGGUUUUUCGGUUCGGUUUUAAAAUGCACAGAGUGAGCAGUAAUGGCGGCCAUCUCCUUCUGCUCCGAGGAGAGGGUGACCCCAAGGACUUUGGAGUGCGAGGAGGCCAUGGCGUGCUGCAGAGAGGAGAAAGGGAUCGGAGAAGGAUGGUUGCGGCUAUUGUCGAGGUAAUGAACCUGAUAAUGAGUACUAGGAGUACGAACUAAGGGCGGAACCUACCUACGGCGCAAGUGUCUCACUCAGAUUUAGCCAGUCCGGGCCCCUCUCGGAGAAAUAACAGCCCUACGUCUCGUGCUCGGAGGCUUGUGUUUUCUCUUGGGGUGUAUGACUACAAUGGGUGUUGAACCCUUACCAUGGAGUUGAGGGGAGGCUUAUAUAGAGUGCGCCUCAACCCAUUAAUGUCAUGUUACAAGGGGUUAAAUGAGCAUAACUACAACAGUUACCGGUAACGACAACUAUAACUAUACUUGAAAUCUGGGAUUAAGGCACCUGACCUUAGCGGUUCCCACGUCGCCUCCACGCCUCCGAGUGAUGCUGGCGAGGCCGACUGGUGGGAAGACGUUCGAGUGCUGAUGGAAUAUCUGAGUGGAUUUCUAGGGAUGCGCAUCCGAAUGCGCUUGUGGUCCAAGGACCUUCCAAUGAUGGUGUGAGACCCUAGGUGGGCCUUAGAUGUCAGGUCCUUGACCCUACCAGUAGUAGGUGACCCCAUCAUUAGCCCCCGAAUCGGCUGAGGUUUGGUAGGACGAAUGGGUUGAAUCAUUGGCUUGGUCUGAGUGCUUCGGGAGCACCCGGGAUCCGUUGCCAAGUGGUUACCUAUCGUGACCUGGGCGAAACCACUGCGGAUUCUGGACUAAAGGUUUUUCCGAGUGAUCGGAUCAUGUUUGAUUGCUGGGCAAAACUUGGUGGCAUUCGUGUGUCUCUCGGGAGGGAUGGACUAGGGGUCCGAAUGAGGACGGGCCAUGAAACCUGGGUGACGACGCUGGCGCGUGGUCUGAUUCUCCGGAGAGAUGUCACUCAUUAUCCCAGGGGAACGCCAGCGUGGGCGAUCUUCGAGUCCAAGUUUAUGAGGCUUGCUUGAUGAGGACAUGGAGGCCAUAGUUACACCCAUAGCCCCUACUAUUGUACCUAUUGGAUCAAUUAGUAUAGAUUGCGCACGGUGGUUAUAUUAUCAGGUACUUUUGUUUCUUGAUAAUGUUUCUGAAGUUCAUGAGAAUAUGAUGCUGCCUAACUUCGAUACAUUUUUGUUGCUUAUAGUUGAAGGGCCUAGCUUGGACAAGAAGGAACAACAUUGGAGCAUUAUCAAGCAUGAAGAUGAAGGCGCGCGCGAAGAGAACAAGAACAUAGUUUGUAGUGGAGAUUUCCGCACUUUGAAGCCACCAUGAUGUCAUAUAAGAAGAUGGAUGAAAUAUACAACAUGGCAUUUUAUAAGUUUCGCCCAUAGCUUAUUAUUGGUGUUGCGCCACCUUAUUUUCUGGGCCAUGUCCAUGUAAUUUUCAAAUACUACUUCAUAGGCUGUUUUUAGAGUCCAUAUUAUAGGGGAAACGAAUCAGGAGGUAUUUUAGUCCCACCUUGCCAAGUGUGGACGAAAUCCCAUCUCUUUUCCCCUAUAAAUAUAGCCCUUAAGGCAUCGUUUAGACUUGGGAUUUUAUUUAGUUAAAAGUUAUCCAUCGCUGCAACUUCGUGUACUUCGUUUGUGUCCAACGACCAGACCAAGACCGCUUAUGAAACCCUACUUUUAUCAAUAUUUCAUGCAUAUUCGCAAUAUUCAGCUUGCAUUAAUUAACGUGGUUGUAGCAUUUUUUUCACACAUAUAAAUCCAACCUAGUG
rnacentral:lncRNA from 1 species